GAAAUCCGUAGGCAGCAGGCAGAAUCCAGAGUACCACGAGACACGUGGAACCUUGUGGGAAGUCGGGAGGACCACCUCCCAAGGCUAAAUACUACUCAGUGACCGAUAGCGUAUAGUACUGUGAAGGAAAGGUGAAAAGAACCCCGGGAGGGGAGUGAAAGAGAACCUGAAACCCUGUGUUUACAAGCUGUGGGACAUCCUUAAGAGAUGGACCGCGUACUUUUUGUAGAACGGUCCGGCGAGUUACAUCAUCUGGCGAGGUUAAGGACUAAAGGUCCGGAGCCGAAGGGAAACCGAGUCUUAAUAGGGCCAGAGUCAGAUGGAGUAGACCCGAAACCGGGUGAUCUAUCCAUGUCCAGGUUGAAGUUGCCGUAAAAGGCAAUGGAGGACCGAACCCACAUCCGUUGAAAAGGGUGGGGAUGAGGUGUGGAUAGGGGAGAAAUUCCAAUCGAACCCGGAGAUAGCUGGUUCUCCUCGAAAUAGCUUUAGGGCUAGCCUCAGUUUAGCGACACGGAGGUAGAGCACUGAAUAGCCUAGGGGGCGUCAAAGCCUACCGAAGCUUAUCAAACUCCGAAUGCCGUGGACGUGAUGACUGGGAGUCAGACUGCACGAGAUAAGUUGGGUAGUCGAAAGGGAAAGAGCCCAGACCGCCAGCUAAGGUCCCAAAAUACAUGUUAAGUGGAAAAGGAUGUGGGAUUUCGAAGACAACUAGGAUGUUGGCUCAGAAGCAGCCAUCCAUUCAAAGAGUGCGUAAUAGCUCACUAGUCGAGAGGUCCUGCGCCGAAAAUGUCCGGGGCUGAAACAUGAUACCGAAGCUGCGGAACCGCAAGGUUGGUAGAGGAGCAUUGUCAGCGGGAAGAAGCUGUACCGGAAGGAGCAGUGGACUGCUGAGAAGAGAGAAUGCCGGAAUGAGUAGCGAGAACAAGGUGAGAAUCCUUGUGGCCGAAUAUCCAAGGUUUCCAGAGUAAAGCUGAUCUGCUCUGGGUAAGUCGGGGCCUAAGGCGAGGACGAGAGUCGUAGUCGAUGGACAACAGGUGGAGAUUCCUGUACUGCAUAUGGACAGAACUGUGGGGACGCAGAAAGAGAGCGUGAGCCGGGAAUGGAA
rnacentral:rRNA from 1 species